rnacentral:rRNA from 1 species
GACGAACGCUGGCGGCGUGCUUAACACAUGCAAGUCGAACGGUGAAGCCCUUCGGGGUGGCUCAGUGGCGAACGGGUGCGUAACACGUGAGCAACCUGCCCCUGGCUCUGGGACAACCACUGGAAACGGUGGCUAAUACCGGAUACGACCCGCCUCGGCAUCGAGUGUGGGUGGAAAGUUUUUCGGCUGGGGAUGGGCUCGCGGCCUAUCAGCUUGUUGGUGAGGUGAAGGCUCACCAAGGCGACGACGGGUAGCCGGCCUGAGAGGGCGACCGGCCACACUGGGACUGAGACACGGCCCAGACUCCUACGGGAGGCAGCAGUGGGGAAUAUUGCACAAUGGGCGAAAGCCUGAUGCAGCGACGCCGCGUGAGGGAUGACGGCCUUCGGGUUGUAAACCUCUUUCAGCUCCGAAGAAGCGAAAGUGACGGUAGGAGCAGAAGAAGCACCGGCUAACUACGUG